AGUGAACGCUGGCGGUAGGCCUAACACAUGCAAGUCGAACGGCAGCACAGUAAGAGCUUGCUCUUACGGGUGCCGAGUGGCGGACGGGUGCGGAAUACAUCGGAAUCUACUUUUUCGUGGGGGCUAACGUAGGGAAACUUACGCUAAUACCGCAUACGACCUACGGGUGAAAGCAGGGGAUCUUCGGACCUCGCGCGAUUGAAUGAGCCGAUGUCGGAUUAGCUAGUUGGCGGGGUAAAGGCCCACCAAGGCGACGAUCCGUAGCUGGUCUGAGAGGAUGAUCAGCCACACUGGAACUGAGACACGGUCCAGACUCCUACGGGAGGCAGCAGUGGGGAAUAUUGGACAAUGGGCGCAAGCCUGAUCCAGCCAUACCGCGUGGGUGAAGAAGGCCUUCGGGUUGUAAAGCCCUUUUGUUGGGAAAGAAAGGCAGCAGGUUAAUACCCCGCUGUUCUGACGGUACCCAAAGAAUAAGCACCGGCUAACUUCGUG
rnacentral:rRNA from 1 species